rnacentral:rRNA from 1 species
GGGGAAUAUUGCGCAAUGGGGGAAACCCUGACGCAGCAACGCCGCGUGCGGGAUGAAGGCCUUCGGGUUGUAAACCGCUUUCAGCAGGGACGAAGGGUUUCUGACGGUAACCGGAGAAGAAGCCCCGGCUAACUUCGUGCCAGCAGCCGCGGUAAUACGAAGGGGGCUAGCGUUGUUCGGAUUUACUGGGCGUAAAGCGCACGUAGGCGGACUUUUAAGUCAGGGGUGAAAUCCCGGGGCUCAACCCCGGAACUGCCUUUGAUACUGGAAGUCUGGAGUAUGGUAGAGGUGAGUGGAAUUCCGAGUGUAGAGGUGAAAUUCGUAGAUAUUCGGAGGAACACCAGUGGCGAAGGCGGCUCACUGGACCAUUACUGACGCUGAGGUGCGAAAGCGUGGGGAGCAAACA